ACCAUAAAAGUAAAAAAAUUUUUGUUUUAAAUUUGAAACUUUUUGAAAAAAAAAAGAAACUCUGUAGAAGGUAAAAUUUCAAAGGGUUAAAAUAUUUUGGGGAAAUGUUUUGAAAAUUCUGAAGUGAAACUAGGAUUAGAUACCCUAUUAUUGUAGAGAAAAAAGAAAUUAGGUAGUAGUAGAAGGCUUGAAACUUAAAGAAUUUGGCGGUGUUUUAAUCUUAUCAGAGGAACUUGUAUUUUAAUUCGAAACUACCCGUUUAAUUUCACUUAAGUUUUGUUUGUAUAUCGUCGUAAAAAUAAAACUUUAAAGUGAAUAUUAGGAAGAAUUAUUUUUAAAAUUACAGAUCAAGGUUCAGCGUAUAUUUGAGUAUAAUAUGAGUUACAGUAUGUUAAAUGUAUUACGAAAAAGAGAUUGAA
rnacentral:rRNA from 1 species